UACGUAGGGGGCGAGCGUUGUCCGGAUUUAUUGGGCGUAAAGAGCUCGUAGGCGGUUCGGCAAGUCGGAUGUGAAAUCUCCACGCUCAACGUGGAGGGGCCAUCCGAUACUGCCGUGACUCGAGUCCGGUAGGGGAGUGUGGAAUUCCCGGUGUAGCGGUGAAAUGCGCAGAGAUCGGGAGGAACACCCGUAGCGAAGGCGGCACUCUGGGCCGUGACUGACGCUGAGGAGCGAAAGCGUGGGGAGCAAACAGG
rnacentral:rRNA from 1 species